rnacentral:rRNA from 1 species
UACGAAGGGUGCAAGCGUUACUCGGAAUUACUGGGCGUAAAGCGUGCGUAGGUGGUGAGUUAAGUCUGUCGUGAAAAGCCCCGGGCUUAACCGGGGGGCCGGCCGUGGAAACUGUCGGGCUAGAGGCCGGGAGAGGGCAGCGGAAUUCCCGGUGUAGCGGUGAAAUGCGUAGAGAUCAGGAGGAACACCGGUGGCGAAGGCGGUUCUCUGGGCAUUACCUGACGCUGAGGAGCGAAAAGUGUGGGGGAGCGAAACAGG